GCCAAUCAGGACCGAUGCUCACAGUGACAACACUCACGCUGAGGAUAUUGUGGGUUAGAAGAGGAGCAUGGGUAAAAUAGAGGAGAGCAGGAGAAGUAAGAGAUGAGAUGAGAGGAGAGGGGAGAGGAGGAGGAGGAGGAGGAAGAGGAGAGGAGGAGGAGGAGGAGGAGGAGAGGAAUGAGAGGAGUACAAGGAAGCGGAAAACGGACGCACGUCACGAGCUGAUGGUGACAAACCGGUGCAAUCUCACAUUAACACCUCAACAAUCAAAGAUCUUUGAGUUGAUCAAAUUAUUGUGCACUCUAGCCUACAGUUUGUUUAGAGGAUUUACAGUUUGUUUAGAGGUUUACAGUCUGUUUAGAGGUUUACAGUUUAUUUAGAGGUUUACAGUUUGUUUAGAGGAUUACAGUUUGUUUAGAGGAUUUACAGUUUGUUUAGAGGUUUACAGUCUGUUUAGAGGGUUUACAGUUUGUUUAGAGGGUUACAGUUUGUUUAGAGGUUUACAGUUUGACAGCGCCACUUUUUCUACAGACAAACAUUAGUCACAGGAUUGCAAAGGGAAGGUCAGAUGCAGAUAAGGGGUCUAUGAGAGGGGG
rnacentral:lncRNA from 1 species